UCUAGCGUGUGCGCGAGUCAUUGGGUGUAAAACCUAAAGGCGCAAUGAAAGUGUCAGGGGUGCCUCCUUCAGGAGCGCAUCCCGUUGGGAGGAUGGGCCCCCGUGCGAUCACUCGCCGGAGCCCCGCACUCCCGGGGCGUCUCGUUCUCAUCACGAGUGGAGACGCACCAGGAGCGCACACGCUGGUACCCGAAAGAUGGUGAACUAUGCCUGGCCAGGACGAAGCCAGGGGAAACCCUGGUGGAGGUCCGAAGCGAUUCUGACGUGCAAAUCGAUCGUCUGAGCUGGGUAUAGGGGCGAAAGACCAAUCGAACCAUCUAGUAGCUGGUUCCCUCUGAAGUUUCCCUCAGGAUAGCUGGCUCUCGGGAAGAGACGAGUCUCAUCCGGUAGAGCGAAUGAUUAGAGGUGAUGGGGUCGAAACGACUUCAACCUAUUCUCAAACUCCCAAUAGAUGAGAGCCC
rnacentral:rRNA from 1 species